UAGGGAAUCUUCCGCAAUGGACGCAAGUCUGACGGAGCAACGCCGCGUGAGUGAAGAAGGUUUUCGGAUCGUAAAACUCUGUUGUUAGAGAAGAACAAGUGCUAGAGUAACUGUUAGCACCUUGACGGUAUCUAACCAGAAAGCCACGGCUAACUACGUGCCAGCAGCCGCGGUAAUACGUAGGUGGCAAGCGUUGUCCGGAUUUAUUGGGCGUAAAGCGAGCGCAGGCGGUUCCUUAAGUCUUAUGUGAAAGCCCCCGGCUCAACCGGGGAGGGUCAUUGGAAACUGGGGAACUUGAGUGCAGAAUAGGAGAGUGGAAUUCCAUGUGUAGCGGUGAAAUGCGUAGAUAUAUGGAGGAACACCAGUGGCGAAGGCGACUCUCUGGUCUGUAACUGACGCUGAGGCUCGAAAGCGUGGGUAGCAAACAGG
rnacentral:rRNA from 1 species